CCUACGGGAGGCAGCAGUGAGGAAUAUUGGUCAAUGGGCGCGAGCCUGAACCAGCCAAGUCGCGUGAGGGAUGAAGGUUCUAUGGAUCGUAAACCUCGUUUAUAAGGGAAUACAGUGUGGGACGUGUCCUAUUUUGUAUGUACCUUAUGAAUAAGGGUCGGCUAACUCCGUGCCAGCAGCCGCGGUAAUACGGAGGGUCCGGGCGUUAAGCGGAUUUAAUGGGUUUAAAGGGUGCGUAGGCGGCCUUUUAAGUCAGGGGUGAAAGGCUGUGGCUCAACCAUAGAAUUGCCGUUGAAACUGGGGGGCUUGAGUAUGUUUGAGGCAGGAGGAAUGCGUGGUGUAGCAGUGAAAUGCUUAGAUAUCACGCAGAACCCCGAUUGCGAAGGCAGCCUGCCAAGCCAUGACUGACGCUGAUGCACGAAAGCGUGGGGAUCAAACAGGAUUAGAUACCCCUGUAGUC
rnacentral:rRNA from 1 species